GUUCCAUACAUGAGAUUAGCCCUAGCUGUACAGGGAGGAAGCAUUUACUUAAAAGGAAGUGGGAAAUUUGGGUGAAGUGAACGAAAAAAAAGGUGGAAACUAUGGUGAUUGCAGACUUUAAUUGAUAAUAGAGACCUCGUCUUGGACUGUAAUUUUAAAAGGGUGUGUGGAUUUUUAUGCCGCCUACUACUAUGAAAAUUAUCAACUGUGACUUCUGCUGAUUUUCCUGGAAAUUAAGGAAUGAGCAAUGAACAGUCAUUCCAACUGAAGAAAAUGGUUACUCUCCUUUCAAUGGUGUGGUAUGUUUCCCUGGAAAGAAAUAAAUUCCCUGAUACUUUCCUCAUUGAUGCCCUCCCAAAUCGCAUCCUGCCGGCUGGCUUGAAUGCCAUUUGCCGCAAGAGAAGAGUCAUAUUUAAUGUUGCAGGCCAAAUUCCAAUUGCCAAUUAUAAGAUUAUAAAAGAAAUCAAAGUUCACACACACAUAAUAUAUGAAUAUAUAUAUAUAUAUAGAGAGAGAGAGAGAGAGAGAGAGAGAGAGAGAGAAUUAACUCAGAUAGAGAAGCUUUCUUGAGAGAGAGAGAGAGAGAGAGACUAACCACAGAUAGAGAAGCCCUUUUUGGAGUAUCUGAUUGCCCAGAAGCUCAAGGAUAUGGAGUAAAAGAGAGAGAAGAGAGAAAAAAAUGGAGGAAAUAUGGACUAUGGAGACUGGUGAGAGAUGAGAUCAAGCAUGGAGGCCAACACACCUCGUAUGGUCCCAAUGAUUUUGAGCCACAUCACUUUGUAUUUUUGACCAUGGUGGGAAAUAAUUAGGGAAAAGUUUCCAAUAAAAGAGGCGGUGUGGAGCACUUUGUAGCUGUUGGUCUCAUGCAUUGUCCCGAAAAGGUCUGCUAAAGAAAACAGUUUUUCUUUGUCUGUAUUAUAAACCCUUCACAUGAUUGGUUGAGAUUUUUCCUAUGUGUACUGAGACUAAAAUCAUACCCUCUGGCCAACCUCCUUCCAAUUCCUCUUCUUCCAAGGCAGUUUGGGCAGGUUCUUCUACUCUGGUUCAUGA
rnacentral:lncRNA from 1 species